GAUAUGAUCCAGAGUACCACGGGACACGUGAAACCCUGUGGGAAGCAGGAGGGACCACCCUCCAAGGCUAAAUACUACCUAGUGACCGAUAGCGUAUAGUACCGUGAGGGAAAGGUGAAAAGAACCCCGGGAGGGGAGUGAAAUAGAACCUGAAACCCUGCACUUACAAGCUGUGGAAGCACAUUUCUUGUGUGACCGCGUACUUUUUGUAGAACGGGCCAACGAGUUACGUUAAGUAGCAAGGUUAAGCACUUAAGGUGCGGAGCCGUAGCGAAAGCGAGUUUUAACUGAGCGUUCAGUUACUUGACGUAGACCCGAAACCGGGCGACCUACCCAUGAGCAGGAUGAAGCGAAAGUAAAAUUUCGUGGAGGUCCGAACCCACGAGCGUUGAAAAGCUCGGGGAUGACUUGUGGGUAGCGGUGAAAUUCCAAUCGAGCCCGGAGAUAGCUGGUUCUCCCCGAAAUAGCUUUAGGGCUAGCCUCAAGGUGAGAGAUACGGAGGUAGAGCACUGAAUGUCCUAGGGGGUAUUGCACCUACCGAAGACUAUCAAACUCCGAAUGCCGUCAUCUUAUACUUGGGAGUCAGACUGUGGGUGAUAAGAUUCAUAGUCGAAAGGGCAACAGCCCAGAUCGUCAGCUAAGGUCCCUAAAUGUAAGUUAAGUGGUAAAGGAUGUGGGAUUGCACAGACAACCAGGAUGUUGGCUUAGAAGCAGCCACUCAUUCAAAGAGUGCGUAAUAGCUCACUGGUCGAGUGAUCCUGCGCCGAAGAUUUCCGGGGCUAAAACUUACUACCGAAGCUACGGCAUCAGUAAUGAUGGGUAGGGGAGCUUCCCAUACGGGUUGAAGCAUGACCGUAAGGACAUGUGGACAGUAUGGGAGUGAGAAUGUUGGCAUGAGUAGCGAGAUGUGGGUGAGAAUCCCACAGGCCGUAAACCCAAGGUUUCCAGGGGAAGGUUCGUCCGCCCUGGGUUAGUCGGGACCUAAGCUGAGGCCGAAAGGCGUAGGUGAUGGACAACAGGUUGAUAUUCCUGUACUACCGAUAACCGUUUGAGAGAAGGGAUGACACAGUAGGAUAAGCUAAGCACACUGUUGGUUAUGUGUGCCCAAGCAUUGAGGCAGUCAAAGUAGGCAAAUCCGCUUUGAUAAUGCUGGGAUGUGAUGGGGAGCGAAAUUUAGUAGCGAAGUAGCUGAUUUCACACUGUCAAGAAAAGUCUCUAUCGAGGUUAAAGGUACCCGUACCGCAAACCGACACAGGUGGGUGAGGAGAGUAUCCUAAGGCCAGCGAGAGAACUGUUGUUAAGGAACUCGGCAAAAUGACCCCGUAACUUAGGGAUAAGGGGUGCCACCAUCAGGUGGCCGCAGAGAAUAGGCCCAAGCGACUGUUUACCAAAAACAUAGGUUUCUGCUAAGUCGCAAGACGAUGUAUAGGAGCUGACGCCUGCCCGGUGCUGGAAGGUUAAGGGGAUCUGUUAGAGCAAUCGAAGCAGUGAACUUAAGCCCCAGUAAACGGCGGCCGUAACUAUAACGGUCCUAAGGUAGCGAAAUUCCUUGUCGGGUAAGUUCCGACCCGCACGAAAGGCGUAACGAUUUGGGCACUGUCUCAACAACAGACUCGGUGAAAUUGUAAUUCCGGUGAAGAUGCCGGAUACCUGCGACAGGACGGAAAGACCCCAUGGAGCUUUACUGUAGCUUGACAUUGGGUCUUGGUACUACAUGUACAGGAUAGGUGGGAGGCUUUGAAACCAGGACGCCAGUUUUGGCGGAGCCAUCCUUGGGAUACCACCCUUGUAGUACUGGGACUCUAACCAUAGGCCAUGAAUCUGGUCUUGGGACACUGUCAGGUGGGCAGUUUGACUGGGGCGGUCGCCUCCCAAAAGGUAACGGAGGCGCUCAAAGGUUCUCUCAGUACGGUCGGAAAUCGUACGUAGAGUGUAAAGGCAAAAGAGAGCUUGAUUGCAAGACAUACAGGUCGAGCAAGGAUGAAAAUCGGACUUAGUGAUCCGGUGGUUCUGCGUGGAAGGGCCAUCGCUCAACGGAUAAAAGCUACCCUGGGGAUAACAGGCUUAUCUCCCCCAAGAGUCCACAUCGACGGGGAGGUUUGGCACCUCGAUGUCGGCUCAUCACAUCCUGGGGCUGUAGUAGGUCCCAAGGGUUGGGCUGUUCGCCCAUUAAAGUGGUACGCGAGCUGGGUUCAGAACGUCGUGAGACAGUUCGGUCCCUAUCCGUCGCAGGCGUAGGAAAUUUGAGAAGACCUGUCCUUAGUACGAGAGGACCGGGAUGGACGUACCUCUGGUGUACCAGUUGUCCUGCCAAGGGCAUGGCUGGGUAGCUAUGUACGGAAUGGAUAAGCGCUGAAAGCAUCUAAGCGCGAAGCCAACUUCAAGAUAAGAUUUCCCACCGCAAGGGUAAGACCCCAGAAAGACUAUCUGGUUGA
rnacentral:rRNA from 1 species